rnacentral:sRNA from 1 species
CCUGGAAUCUAUGAGGGCGAUCCUAGUUACGACUCCUAGUUAUGGAGACCAUGGAGUCUGGCAAUCUUUUGUAGCAAGGAAAAGGUUCCAGCGUUGGGACUGGGUUACAUUCAGUUGAGUUGUUAGCACAAUGGGUCCUGUAAAGACUCCUGAAUAACCCAAGCUGAUGUUGGGACAGAAGGGUGCUCUGAAAACAGCCGGUUCUUUUCUAAUGAGACACAAAAAGAGAGCGGAUCUGGGUAGGAGGCGAGGUGGGUAAGCACUGGAAGAGAAACCAUAAUCAGAUUAUGUGAAAAAAGAAUUAUGUUUAAUUAAAGGUAGGUUCUAAAGCAAAAUCAAAAAGGGAAUGGGAACCGAAAGCCAUGUCCAUGCGCGGGGUCACCCCAAAGCGGCGCUGGUGGCCUAUACAUUAACAGGGCUGGAAACCGGAAAUGCGGCAGCGGUAGGGGUGGGAGUAAGAGUCUGAGACCGGCACACUAAGCUUCUAAAAACUUUAAACUCUUACAAAAACUGUCCAGUUUAAUACCAGAUGCCCUGCAUGCUUAUGAUGAAUUUCAUCUAAUUCCGUGGGGAAUCCAGAAGCGCAAACCAAAUGACACGAUAAACGGACUAACGCGCUCAGACCUGGAGACCUUUUACUGGGGCGGACACACCAGCUGGCGAAAUCAAGUUCCAUAAUGAAGAGGCUCCAUCUUGAUGAAGGAAGCAACCACCUUGCAGAAGGAAUUGUCUCUGGCUGCUAAGAGCUACAGGUGGAGAAUCCAGAUAUCUCAGUCUUGCAUCUACAGGGACAUCCAUUUUCCCAACCAUCUGAGAGACUUUGGAAGUGGAUUUCCCUCCUGUCAACAGCCCAGGCUAAAAGCAAAUGAAAGCGUCCUAUUUCAAAGAUCUCCCAUCUACUGGCAUCGCACACCCCGUCCUAGUCAGACGCUGUGAGAAGUAUUCUUGGAGUGUUAUCAACUACAAAUUCUGAAACAAGUAUGGCUGUUUGCACAGGAUUUCAUGCUGAAUAAUAUAGUAACAUCUAGAAAUUCCUAACCUAGAGGGAGGGGGUUGGGGGGGAGAACAUUUUUAAAGAUAUUUUAAAAACUGUGGCAUGCGCGCAGGGACUUCUCAAACAGAACCCUCGGAUUCAUUUUAAGCUUUUUCACUUGCUCAGAACUAUUAUUUUGAAAGAUGGAGCCCAAAACAUGGAUCUUGUAAAGCUUCACAGAACAAAAAUAUUCCUAUGAAUUGUAUCUCUCAAUCAGAAGCCAGAACGAGGGGAUGUGUAAUUAGCAAAGAAAGGGUAAAACCAAUGCUUAAAAUCAAUACUUAAACCAGAGAGGAACCCUACAAGGCAUCUAGAGGAGCAUAGGAACAAUGGUACUGACCAGCUUACCUUGCUUUCUUCCGUUAACUUUUUCUAAAGAGCCGGGAAGCUGGGUGUCAGAGCCAUGCUGAAGGUCACAUCUCUGCCCCUCAGAGUGAUGUUCCUCCUCAGCGAUAGAAGAAAGCACAUGUGGGGGCUUUGGGCCACCUGGGAUCUUAUUGGGCCACUGGGAAAUUACAGUGCUUGAGUCUUUGGCUUGCUGACCAAGUCUGAGGCUUGCCGUCUGGACAGAGUCCCGCAAAUCACUAUUAGAGCUUGAGAAAUGGUCCUCUUCAAGAAACAGGGAGCCUGUCUCCUCUGGACCCCCAUCGUUGUCCUGUUCUCCAUCUUCCAAGCAGGUUUCCUGAAUCUGAAUAGCAUCUAAGUCCUGCUCUGGCUUAUCACUCAGUGCCGAAUCGUGUUUGCUAAGAAGAACCAGUGAAGCAGAUAAGGCAUCCCCGGCUUGCUGGAGAGCUUCAUAAACUCGGGAGAGCCAGGAGGACAAAGGUUGGAAGAAGUUCUGGACAUCUUGAGAUGCCAUGACCAACACCAUGACCAACUACCUCGUGUCUCCAGAGUCUGCUUGUUUGGUUCCUCCAGAACUCUGAACGUACGUGAAAUAUAGCAUGAGCAUAAGGAGAAAUUUAACUGGAGGUCUCUGUUUUUUUUUAUAACAGGCAAAACUUUAUUAAUGUACACAUAAAGAAAACAUGUGCAGUACGUAAGCACCGUUGGCAGUAAGUAAAACCAGGCAGCAUGCUGGUUCUUGCACCAAGGUCUAUGGAGUAGGUCUUUGCAGGGAACAGAGCAACUGUGUUUGAUAGGGUGGUGGUCUCUUAGUGGCUGUGACCAUUUCACUCUCAACACGUCUCAGCUGAAACAGAGGAGAGACAUGCUCACACCUGUUAAAGUCACACUGUGGACCCAUCACCAGAUACCUGUAGUCAAUAUCAAGCAGCAUUUGGGGGACAGAGAAAGAUUAUACUGAACUCUCAUGAUGGCUAAAUAAAAUGACCUUGAACAUCUAAAUGUGGGUUCUACCCACGAUUGUACACCUCCUCACACUCACGCCCAACUUCUAUUGCAACAACAGAUUCUAGUCAUGUGGACUGGAAGAAGUCGCUCCCCAUAGACCAGUUUAACAAUGUGAGAAGAGUAAAGGAAUCUGUGGGAACAGCCAGUUAGGCAUGACACUUCAAAAUGCAAGAAAAACCGGAGGUUUCGUGCACAAACAUGCAGACCCCAGAGAGCUAACGAACAGGCAUCUCUGUUUUGAGACACAAAGGUUUAUCCUCUCAAAGGAAAUAUGUGUCUGGAAUUUCAACGCUUCCAACAAAUCUUAAAAAUAGAGUUUUACAGUUUUAGGCAAUCUCUAGAAAUGGUGUCUAUUCUUGGGGAGAAAUCGUACUGAAUAUGUGUGCAUGGCAAAUGGAUCAUGCAGCUUCCUUAGCGUCUUCUGCCUUUGUCUGUGUCCCCAUCUCCUGAAGUUGGCCCUCUGUAACCUGCAUGUCUUCUCAAACGUACCGUAAGAUCAGAGUCUGAAAGGAGUAGCUUGGGGACACCCAUAAAACAGCAGGGCACGGUGAUGAUCAAAGGGACUGUGCCUAUAUUUGUACACUCAUGUGCAAACGCAAGCCUGGGCAGAUUUACAUCUAUACAUGGAUAUAGGUAAUCCCAUUGCUAUCCCAGUGAAGGAUAAAUGCUAUCAGUUGCUUCUAUGAUAACAACAUCCCCCCCUCUGAAUCACUCCAUUCCUGAAGCUUCAAGCCUCUUGAUCUUAGCCUUUAGUACAACUGCUUAAUUUCCCUUAAAAGUUUCUCGUUAGUGAUUCAUAGGUGCCUUGAUUCAUUCAGUAAACAAAUAACAAAUACUGACCAAGCACCUAUUAAGUACUGGGCAGAAUGCCAGGAAAAAGGUAACCCUGAGGCCUCUGUCCUAUGGAACUUGCAUUUCAGCUAAGGAGGAACUGGGCUUUCUGCAUUUUCCUCUUGAACGGAAUAAUUCAUGUAUCACUGUAUAGCACUUGACCUCCUCUCACAGUGUAUGUGCAACCACUCAGUGUUCCAUGCUUCUUGUCAUUCCCAUUUAUACUCACCUGCUGGGAAGGCUGGCCCAUCACUACCUUUGUCUCUUUGGUUGGUUUUGGUUUCUUUGGAUUGAUUACUUGGUAUAUUGGGUGGUUGGUUGGUUGGUUGGUUGGUUUGAGAUGGUCUCACAGAUCGUGAGCUGAUCUUCAACUUGCAAAACAGCCAAAGAUGACCUUGAACUUAUCCUUAUGCCUUUAUAGCCUGAGUGCUAGGAAUACAGACAUGUACCACUGCAGCUUGUCUAUACGGUGCUGGGGACCAAACUCAGGGGCCUUCUGCAUUCCAGGAAGCAUGGCUGAUGAAGUACACCCCAGCUUCAACUCUGUUUUAAUUUUAAACUUUUAUAAACCCGAAAUACAUAUCAUCAGUGCUUAGCUUGCUCUUUUCUUACUCCUCUCACAGAUUCAAGUCAGUGCCGUGCAAACUUUGGUAGUUCUGACUCAUCAAUAAAAUAGCAGAACAUGGAAAGGUCUAAGUUGGCUGCAAAAAUAAGCCUGGCUUAGCCCCCUGUGUUUCUGUUAUCUUCCCAGAAAGCCAAACCCUACUAAAGGUCGAUUUUAAAAAACAAAAAGCAACAACAACAAUAAAAGUGAUGUAAGCAAAUAA